UCUGCCCUCCGCCUGGUUUUUCUUGUGGGCGUCGGCCUUUGGACAGUGGGUGUGUAGCUCCCGGCCAAUCACAGCGCAGCACGGUGCCAGAUCGGCAGCACCACAACCAAUCAGAAGCUACGAAAAUCACAUGCAGAAAAAAAAAGGAGAAUCUGCUGCCGCUCCUCAAACAGUAUCUGAGCGUACACGGUGCCCGAGCACGACGCCUUGCUCUCCGGCGGCGGCUUCACCAGCUCCAGCUCGGCGUAGGUCAGGCUCUCCUCCGCGAUCUUCGGCUGGAGACCCAGGAGGUGAAAAAGGCGGAGGAGGAAGAGAAGAAGAUGGGGGAGAUAUUUAAUGACGUUCAGGCCGUCCUCAACCAUGAUCAUGGUAAUACAGUGAUGUGGUUUUGUAAAUUGCCAUGCCGAGCAUUGUGAGCAUCACUUGAGGUAAACACAGUCAGUUUCUAAAGGCCACAUGAGAACCAGCAUCAUGUUACACAGGAAUAAAUGUCGGAGAAAACAGCAAUAAUGUCGAACAAGAUUCCCGAUCACCGCAGCAAGUUGGCAUGACAGCCGGUAAAAGAACAUGGUCACCGUCACCGUGAACAUGCACAUGCACAGCAGGCCCACCGAGCAGAUCAGCACGGCGCACAGGAUAAUCUGCUCUGUCAAAGCCGCAGCUCAUGGCGAUGGAGGAUCCUUUUAUCUCCGCGCUCGCUGCGAACCAAUGGCGUUUCCCCUCCCAAAUCAAAAGCAGGACCGUCCUCCUGCUCGGUGAACUGACUUCACCGCCUCUUCAGCCAGAUGCAUUAGGUCAUCCCGCUGCGGUCGGGCUAACCGCUACUACUGGAGACACACCAUUGCUCCCCAAUGACAAAUAUUUUCUCUGCUAUCUAUGGUCUACCAUUAUCACAAUUAAAUUUCACUUUCCCCAGUGUUGUGGUAGCACAGAUAGUUUUAAAGUCUCCGCCUUCGGUUUUUGCUUCCUGUAGCGGUCUGAUUGAUUUCUGCGUGCACCUACUAAUGUUAGCUAUGUUAUACUCAACACACACAACGUAACUGAAAAGCUGCAAUAUGCAACUCUUUAACAUUAAAAUAACAAACAAAUUGGACACAUAUAUAAUCAGUAUGACACCCUGUGGUGAGAUUAGCUGACAUGAAGCAGUACGAGGAAAAACAAUGAAGUUAAAUGUUCAGAAAUACUAAACAUCAGGCUACGCUUUUUUUUUUUUAAAUGCAGAAUUGACUGCUCGUUAAAGGAAUACACCAACAUUUUGGGGCAAAAUCUCCUUUUUCUGACUUACCCAGACUGAGACAAGAUGUUUGAUACCAUUUUCACCUCUGGACGUCCAGUGGUUUGGUUCCUUUGGGUAGCAUAGCAUUUUAGCUUA